UACGUAGGGUGCAAGCGUUGUCCGGAAUUAUUGGGCGUAAAGAGCUCGUAGGCGGUUUGUCGCGUCUGCUGUGAAAAUCCAGGGCUUAACCCUGGACCUGCAGUGGGUACGGGCAGACUGGAGUGCGGUAGGGGAGAUCGGAAUUCCAGGUGUAGCGGUGAAAUGCGUAGAUAUCGGGAGGAACACCAGUGGCGAAGGCGGCGACCUGGGCUGACAUUGACGCUGAGGUUCGAAAGCGUGGGGAGCAAACAGG
rnacentral:rRNA from 1 species